CCCCCCUCUGCAGAUGGCAGCCUGCACCCCUCAGCAGAGCUCUGGAGUCCCCCAGGCCAGGCGGGCUUCGGGCCCAUGCUGGGUGGGGGCUCAUCCCCGCUGCACCUCCCGCCCGGCAGCGGCCCCGUGGGCAGCAGUGGAAGCAGCAGCACAUUUGGUGGCCUGCACCAGCAUGAGCGCAUGGGCUACCAGCUGCACGGAGCAGAGGUGAAUGGUGGGCUCCCAUCUGCAUCCUCCUUCUCCUCGGCCCCCGGAGCCACGUACGGCGGCGUCUCCAGCCACACGCCACCUGUCAGCGGGGCCGACAGCCUCCUGGGCUCCCGAGGGACCACAGCUGGCAGCUCCGGGGAUGCCCUUGGCAAAGCACUGGCCUCGAUCUACUCCCCAGAUCACUCAAGCAAUAACUUCUCGUCCAGUCCCUCCACCCCUGUGGGCUCCCCCCAGGGCCUGGCAGGGACGUCGCAGUGGCCUCGAGCGGGAGCCUCCGGUGCCUUAUCGCCCAGCUACGACGGGGGUCUCCACGGCCUGAGUAAGAUAGAAGACCACCUGGACGAGGCCAUCCAUGUGCUCCGCAGCCACGCCGUGGGCACAGCCGGCGACAUGCACACGCUGCUGCCUGGCCACGGGGCGCUGGCCUCAGGUUUCACCGGCCCCAUGUCGCUGGGCGGGCGGCACGCAGGCCUGGUUGGAGGCGGCCACCCUGAGGACGGCCUUGCAGGCAGUACCAGCCUCAUGCACAACCACGCGGCCCUCCCCAGCCAGCCAGGUGCCCUCCCUGACCUCUCUCGGCCUCCCGACUCCUACAGUGGGCUAGGGCGAGCAGGUGCCACGGCGGCUGCCAGUGAGAUCAAGCGGGAGGAGAAGGAGGACGAGGAGAACACGUCGGCGGCUGACCACUCGGAGGAGGAGAAGAAAGAACUGAAGGCCCCCCGGGCCCGGACCAGCCCAGACGAGGACGAGGACGACCUUCUCCCCCCAGAGCAGAAGGCCGAGCGGGAGAAGGAGCGCCGGGUGGCCAAUAACGCCCGAGAGCGGCUGCGGGUCCGUGACAUCAACGAGGCCUUUAAGGAGCUGGGGCGCAUGUGCCAACUGCACCUCAACAGCGAGAAGCCCCAGACCAAACUGCUCAUCCUGCACCAGGCCGUCUCGGUCAUCCUGAACUUGGAGCAGCAAGUGCGAGAGCGGAACCUGAAUCCCAAAGCAGCCUGUUUGAAACGGCGAGAAGAGGAAAAGGUGUCGGGUGUGGUUGGAGACCCCCAGAUGGUGCUUUCAGCUGCCCACCCAGGCCUGAGCGAAGCCCACAACCCCGCCGGGCACAUGUGAAAGGUAUGUCUCCGUGGGAC
rnacentral:sRNA from 1 species